CGAGAAGGCCACGUCAGAUAUCCUCAGCUUCGAAUCGCCCCUCGCGUUACGUGUCCGCGAGCAGAUCCAGCACCUCAUACGCUCUUCUCCCUCCCCCUUCUUGACCACGUUCCUCCACUCCCCCCCAUAGCUCUGGAUCUGGCCAUGGCUCCCUCUCCUGGUGUCGUGUCACCCAGGAGGCGGCGCUCGAUGACUUCGUCGACGAUGGCGUUGACGACCUGGUGGUCUCGCUCUACCAGAUGGACCUCGAUCUCACGCUCUUCCUCCUCCGCUCCUAACUCCUCCCGGAGAAGAUCAAGAAGUACACGAUGCAUAUCUCUAGGGCCACGGCCGAGGCGACUGGUGAAGUUGCGGCAAUCUGAUGCGGGAGGUGGCCGACCUCAUCCUUAGCUUCCCUGACGAGACGCCCGUCGUCGUCCUCUCUGCCAUGGGGAAGACCACCAAUAACCUCCUCCUGGCCGGAGAGAAUGCGGUGAGCUGCGGUGCCCCCAAGGCGUCCGAAAUCCCUAAGCUCGCUGUCAUCAAGGACCUGCAUCUUAGGACGGUUGAUGAGCUUGGUUUAGAUAAGUCGAUUGUUUCAGGGUUCCACAUGCACAUUCACCGAGUCAAUCCUGCGAUCGUGUGGCUUCCAUACUGGGCUGUUCACCUCACCACAUUUGAUGGAUGUUAGAGAGCGAUUUCAGCUAGGGUUAAUAUUUGAAUAUUUCUGAAGAGAAAUUUUUGAAGUACUUCUGGUGGUGCUGGAACAAGUUGAAGGAGAAGACUGAUGAUGAUAUUCCCAUGCCAGCCUAUUUCAGGUUCCUCGCGCUGCUCGCAUUCAAGAUAUUUUCUGCUGAGCAGGUAGAUGUUGCUGUUCUCGAGGUUGGCCUAGGAGGGAAGUUUGAUGCAACUAAUGUGGUUAAAGCACCUGUAGUUUGUGGCAUAUCUUCCCUUGGAUAUGAUCAUAUGGAAAUUCUUGGUGACCAAAUCCUGUUCUUGGUGAUAAACUUGGUGUCGAUAAACGGGUUAAUUCUGUUGGCAAAAUUAGGAUGACACAGGUGACAUGAAGAUGCCAAGUCGGUGCAUCCAUACUAAUUGCGACUUUGGUCUGUUUGGACCUCUGGUAAACGACGUAGUAGGUUUGGAGACCUGGAACUACAAAUCAAUAGUAUUGGGACUUAAGUGACAACCUGAACAAGUUUAGGAACAACUUGCUAGAAAAUUUUUAUGCUUUCUACCAAUCUUACAACGAUAAUUUGAAAGUUGAUAUUUAUGGUACUUAUUUGGUCCAGGAACUAGAUUUUUUGUACAUUCUUUCGGAUCUGGAUUAAACAACGCUCUCUUUGUAUAUGAACAAUGCUCUAUAAAUAUACGUUUGAUAAUUUUAUAUGAUAUUUAAUAAAUAGUAGCUACUGUGACUGUUUCAUUUUGUUUUUCUUAGGUUGUUAGUUCUCAUGAAUGUCAUGUUGUCUCGAAAUAAAGAGCUUCUGUCCGCACCUAAUCGCCUAAAAUGGAAAUGUUUGACUCAUUGUUUAAUUCGGGGGGAAGCUGAAGGUGGUCUGAUCCGGUAAGAGAUCUUAAUCUGCAUUACACUUGUUGGAUUUUGAUGUCGCUUCUGGGAGUGUUUGAUUGAAUUCUACACCAGUUCUAGGAAGAGAAAGCCUGACCAAGUCAUCAUCUCCAGGUUUGUUAUUGUUUGGAUGCAAAAAUCGUCGUUAGUUAACUUUUUUGUGUUGAAGUAACUGUUUGGUUGAGAAAAUUAGUUGCCUAUCUUCUAUUUUCUCUGUUUUGUUAUAGCAGCAAGCUGAUUUGUGUCUAAUUUAUAGGGACGAUGUUAGCGAAAGUCAAUUUAAUCAGGUGCUGAACAUUGAGUUGCAACAAAUCAUCGAUGGAGACUGUCACCGCAGCCAGAAAACCACGGUCUCAAUUUGAGGAGCCUUUCCAUCUAUGUUUGUUAGAAGGCAUAUAAUGCCUAUUUAUCUCUUGUAUUCGAACAUUUGGCAAUUAAGAAAUAGAAGAUUACUUCCCC